rnacentral:lncRNA from 1 species
UACUCGUCGCGCGUUGCUACCGCGACCGCGGCUCUAUACAGUUGGUCGAAUAGGCGUAAAUAAUGCGCGAGAGAUCACGGAAAAGCAGUUCCUCAGUUUUCUCGGGAACACAGACUGAUUCAUACUACCCCAGGCCCGGCUAAAGAUUUGUCCGUGCUUUUUGGAUACACCAGAAGCCACAACCGAUCUCUAACCCUGCUCGGCGUAGCAUGGACAAAGGUAUUCAAAAAGUACGUACAAAACUUGAGCCGGGCCUCAUCCGAAGCGCGACUCGUCCCGAUCACGGUGUAGCAUGAAUCAGGCUUAAUAUUUCGAGAACAGCGAGAGUUACACCCGAACUAGAGAACUCUCUACUAUCCCCACCACCGAUAGUGGUCGGUACAGUCCGGAGAAAAGUUUAUGACACAAGUUUUUCGUCCGACCCGAGUAAAAGUGUCCAGAGUGCACUGAUAUUUUUGACAGGUUUCUGCCAAAGUUCGAUAAUUACAAAAACGCGAAUAAAGUGUUUUUUAAAUAUUAUAUCGGGAUUUUCGAAAAUUGAAAUUACUUAUAUUUUGACACCGAGUGUACCCAGGUGUGCAAGAGAGAUGGAAGGUCCCUAGCGACUAUCUUUUUCGUCCCGCUUACAUUAGUUCGCGUUCCAGCAGUAUAUUUAUAUUUCAGUGCGAUUACACCUUGUUUUCUGGUAAAAUGGGAACAAUAGGUAGCUUUUUUGUUUUCAAAAAUUAAGGUUGCCCCGUCGCAGCAGCUAUAAGAACGAAAGCCUAUUAUUUUAGAGCUUGUAGAUAAGCCAUAAAUCUUUGAUUUCGAUGCGCUUCAAGAGCGUGGAUCAGUCGCGAUCCCUCACCACCGUGAGUGCGAGAGAGAUAGCCGUAAACCUCGAAACGGAAAUUUUACCACCCCGAAAGUGGAUCAGCCCAUGUUUGCCAUCCCCCUGCGUGGGCAGAUCCAUUUACACCCCGAUCAAAUAAGAGGCGUAGAAAAUUUUCCACUCUGAAAAUUUGAGGUGAAGUUGCGUCAUUCAACAAUACGACUCUUAUGACUGUAUAUUCUCCGACGCGGUUGAACCUCGUUUAAAUUUUUUAUUAUUUAGUAUAGUUUCGAAAUAAGAAUGGACUGACUAUGAGUUAAAUUUAAAUAAACAUUGGAGAAAACGGACAUUCACAAGAUUGCGGAAGUCAAUGAUUUUUCAAAUAAUAGAAGGGUCGUAAGGUAUAUAGGAGUGUGCUGAUGUAGAGAACAAAGCAACAAAAAAGAACCGUUCUGUUGCUGCUGCUGCAAGCGGAGCUACGGGCUACUAGGGGCGAAGAUGGCGCGGCAAGGAGAGAGAAGGGACCCUUGUGUGGGUUACAUGCUCGCUCGCGAGCACAGCCAACAAAGAAACGCGACGCUUAAACUGUACCAAGCGGCUCGGUGUGGAUGUGCGUUCGCUUAUGCGCUGUGGUAAGUGUGUGUGCGCGCGUACACGUGUGCGUACACGUAUGACAGAAAAUGAGACACUUUGUUUGACUUUAUUUUCAUACUCUAGCCAACCCGUGGGUCGAAAGGUUGACAAACUUUGCAAAUUAUAAAAAAAUAAGCACCAAUGUGGUAGUUUUCAUGCAUGUUUUAAGUCUGCAUUAGUCAUGAAAAUUUUUAUAAAAUUUGUUUAAACAUUUUUUUCUAAACAGCAAAAAAAGUAUCGAAACCCUCGCGUAUCAUAAUAUUGUGAUUUUCAACAAAUAUACGUGUCGUCAUACGGAAAAAUGCUUUUUCUCGUCAACUCAAAUAGGUUAACAUACCUACUAGAGAAGCACUCAUUUUUUUGUAAUUUUGCGAUCUAAAAUGGCUAAAUUCAGUUCAGGUAGUAAUAUCCUACACUAAUAGCAUUAUUGAAAAAUAAAAAUAUGGAAUUAGUGCUCUAAUUCGAAUUGAUCACAAAUUUGACACACCGAUACAUGGAACACACACACACAAAGGAUUAUCGUAGAACCAGUAGUUGAGUUGAUUCUGUAUUUCCUUUGUUAGUCUCCAAGAUCCCCUAAAUUUCCAACACCCUGUAUCGUAACAUAUAUAGUGCUUGUGAAACGUGUAUACACGUACAUUAUCGGUUCGAUCCUCUAUUCGGCAUGCUCGUUUGAUAAAUGCAUUACCCUAGCACCUGAACGACUGAGACUCGGGUUGCUGCUUUUUUUGUUCUGUAAUGAACGCGAGACGAUGCGCCGUGCUCUAUCGAGAGGUUAAUUUUGAAAAAAGUCUCUUUGAAGCAAUGAAAGCUGAGAAUUUAUAUGGUGCUUUUGGCUUUAGUUAUCUUUAUAUAGUUAUAAACAAAAUACGAGUAUUUUUGUUUUCAUACUUUAAAAACCAAAUCAUGAAUAGAGUUUUAUUCUUAUCGAAUGAAAUAGUUACGAAUAUUUUAUGAUAAGGUUUUGGCUUGUUUUUUCAAAUGUACAAUUCUCCGUUGUGUAAUCAUUUUUCCGCUUUCCAUCGUGCCCGGUUUUUAACUCCCGAGCGUCCGCAGGGCAAAUUCAACAGACGCCAGAAACCAUCCGCUGCGAUCAGCUGGCGGGGGUUUCUUUGUCACCGCUCUUCUUCGAAGCAGUGACAACUGUUUUCGUCAAUUUUCUCUGUGUCAUUAUCUUGGGCAUGGUUCGUUAAAAUCUCUUGCAAACUCACUGAAUUAACUGAUACUCACGUUGGCAUUAAUUUCAUAAUAUGAAAAGUUGUUCAUUGUUACAAGGUAAUCCUUGACUGUCGACUCUACUAUACCCCACACUAUUAUUUAUUUCAAUUCAUACUGAAGUUCGUCUGGCUAUAAUCGUUUUAUUCGAUGAUAUAAAAAAGUCCCAAGCUUUGGGGACAGCUGUCGAUAUAUCUUAUACACAUAUUUUUGAGGUUAUGCGUAUGUUGGUUUUUGAGGUUAUGCGUAGUUGUUAGCUCUUUUAUUUAUAACAAUUAAAAGAAUUGGAAAAUAAAAGUAAUUAACAACCAAAGAAAGUAUGGGAAAUUCAAAGCAACAAAAUUGACGAGCAAUACAAAUAUGAAGUUUGAAAAAAUUUAAUGCGCUAUCAAAUGUUACGAUGGGUGCUUUCCAACGCCGAAUAGUACAAGAGUAAAACGGUGGUGUCAUACGGUGCCCGUGUUGUGCUCCAGCUGGACCGCACCUACAAUGCGAAUAAGUGCUGUUCUGUGUGUUGCUUGUUGGAAAACUCCUAAUGACUUUCUUAUUAUUUCAGGCAGACAGGACGAUAAAUGGCUUUUAAUCCUCGCGGUAGAAAUCUGCUUAUUUACGAACGUUUCGUUUUUCUUCAUUUUUCUUCAUUUUUUCAAUUUUCGAACAUGAGCCCGGUUUUAUAUACUUCGACUGGAGAAGAUGCACGACCGCGGUGCGCAGUUGGCGAUCCACACUACCGAUGGCGGCGCUCGCGUCCCUCGGAAAUACGGCGCUAUUGGAGUGCAAUUUUGACAGUUGUGCAUUGGAAACAUGAACCAGUCGUACUUGAAACUUUGACAAAUUUAUGAACAUUUAUUGCAUUUAACAUUAUUACAUUUUUGCUGAUAACCACCCGAAAAACCACUUAAUAAUAUUGAUAUCACGUGACAGGUUGCCUGCUUAGCACUCGAACAUGCAGCAGUUCAAGAAAAAUCCGCGAGGCGUCGCAUGCGUAGUGUGAAUCGUCAAUGAACCAAGAUUGCAAAUAAAUAAAAAAUGCAAACAAUGCAAUGAAAAAUAAUAUAUAUUUCGUUAUGAAAAAUUUACCUUGAACAUUUUCGAUGAGACUUUCCUGGAAGUUUAUGUCCGCUGAAAGCAAUAGUCAACCUAACCUUAAAAGCGAAUUUCUGUGAAUGUCGAUAUAUUUUCAUGAAAUAUUGUACUAUCGCAUUCGUGAGUGCUUUGUUUUUUGAACAAAUUUUUGAUAACUGUAAAUGUACAUUAUUAUCAAAUAAAUUUUUUUCCCGUUCAACGGUCA